rnacentral:rRNA from 1 species
UUGGAGGGCAAGUCUGGUGCCAGCAGCCGCGGUAAUUCCAGCUCCAAUAGCGUAUAUUAAAGUUGUUGCAGUUAAAAAGCUCGUAGUUGAAUUUCGGGGUUAGUAGGUUGGUCAUGCCUCUGGUAUGUACUGGUCUCACUGAUUCCUCCUUCCUGAUGAGCCGUAAUGCCAUUAAUUUGGUGUUGCGGGGAAUUUGGACUGUUACUUUGAAAAAAUUAGAGUGUUUAAAGCAAGCUAACGCUUGAAUACAUUAGCAUGGAAUAAUGAAAUAGGACGUUCGAUCCUAUUUUGUUGGUUUCUAGGAUUGACGUAAUGAUCAAUAGGGAUAGUUGGGGGCAUUAGUAUUCAAUUGUCAGAGGUGAAAUUCUUGGAUUUAUUGAAGACUAACUACUGCGAAAGCAUUUGCCAAGGAUGUUUUCAUUAAUCAAGAACGAAAGUUAGGGGAUCGAAGACGAUCAGAUACCGUCGUAGUCUUAACCAUAAACUAUGCCGACUAGGGAUCGGAUGAUGUUAAUUUUUUAAUGACUCAUUCGGCGCCUUACGGGAAAC